rnacentral:rRNA from 1 species
AAAUUGAAGAGUUUGAUCAUGGCUCAGAUUGAACGCUGGCGGCAGGCCUAACACAUGCAAGUCGAACGGUAGCACAGAGAGCUUGCUCUCGGGUGACGAGUGGCGGACGGGUGAGUAAUGUCUGGGAAACUGCCUGAUGGAGGGGGAUAACUACUGGAAACGGUAGCUAAUACCGCAUAACGUCGCAAGACCAAAGAGGGGGACCUUCGGGCCUCUUGCCAUCAGAUGUGCCCAGAUGGGAUUAGCUAGUAGGUGGGGUAACGGCUCACCUAGGCGACGAUCCCUAGCUGGUCUGAGAGGAUGACCAGCCACACUGGAACUGAGACACGGUCCAGACUCCUACGGGAGGCAGCAGUGGGGAAUAUUGCACAAUGGGCGCAAGCCUGAUGCAGCCAUGCCGCGUGUAUGAAGAAGGCCUUCGGGUUGUAAAGUACUUUCAGCGGGGAGGAAGGUGUUGUGGUUAAUAACCGCAGCAAUUGACGUUACCCGCAGAAGAAGCACCGGCUAACUCCGUGCCAGCAGCCGCGGUAAUACGGAGGGUGCAAGCGUUAAUCGGAAUUACUGGGCGUAAAGCGCACGCAGGCGGUCUGUCAAGUCGGAUGUGAAAUCCCCGGGCUCAACCUGGGAACUGCAUUCGAAACUGGCAGGCUAGAGUCUUGUAGAGGGGGGUAGAAUUCCAGGUGUAGCGGUGAAAUGCGUAGAGAUCUGGAGGAAUACCGGUGGCGAAGGCGGCCCCCUGGACAAAGACUGACGCUCAGGUGCGAAAGCGUGGGGAGCAAACAGGAUUAGAUACCCUGGUAGUCCACGCCGUAAACGAUGUCGACUUGGAGGUUGUGCCCUUGAGGCGUGGCUUCCGGAGCUAACGCGUUAAGUCGACCGCCUGGGGAGUACGGCCGCAAGGUUAAAACUCAAAUGAAUUGACGGGGGCCCGCACAAGCGGUGGAGCAUGUGGUUUAAUUCGAUGCAACGCGAAGAACCUUACCUACUCUUGACAUCCAGAGAACUUAGCAGAGAUGCUUUGGUGCCUUCGGGAACUCUGAGACAGGUGCUGCAUGGCUGUCGUCAGCUCGUGUUGUGAAAUGUUGGGUUAAGUCCCGCAACGAGCGCAACCCUUAUCCUUUGUUGCCAGCGGUCCGGCCGGGAACUCAAAGGAGACUGCCAGUGAUAAACUGGAGGAAGGUGGGGAUGACGUCAAGUCAUCAUGGCCCUUACGAGUAGGGCUACACACGUGCUACAAUGGCGCAUACAAAGAGAAGCAAACUCGCGAGAGCAAGCGGACCUCAUAAAGUGCGUCGUAGUCCGGAUUGGAGUCUGCAACUCGACUCCAUGAAGUCGGAAUCGCUAGUAAUCGUAGAUCAGAAUGCUACGGUGAAUACGUUCCCGGGCCUUGUACACACCGCCCGUCACACCAUGGGAGUGGGUUGCAAAAGAAGUAGGUAGCUUAACCUUCGGGAGGGCGCUUACCACUUUGUGAUUCAUGACUGGGGUGAAGUCGUAACAAGGUAACCGUAGGGGAACCUGCGGUUGGAUCACCUCCUUACCUUAAAGAA